rnacentral:lncRNA from 1 species
GGGAAGCGAUUUCGACAGCAGGCGCAACCUCCCUCUUGGCGGCACCGUGGUCGCGACAAAGCAUCUCCGCGAUGCAAGGGGGUUUCACUCUUCAUUGACUUCACGAUUGUUGGCGCAAGUUGUUGGUCAUGCGAUUUGGGGGUUAGGGAUUUGAAUGGGGUUUUCUUUCUGUGUUUUGCGAUUUUGGGUGCGGUUCUGGAGGAGAAGAAAUUUCAGGUAUGGGGAGCUAUUUUCGUUGCUUUAAUUUUUCUUUUAUUACAAGCGUGAGAUGAAUGUGAUUCUGAUUGU